rnacentral:sRNA from 1 species
UAUGGCAUUUAGCAUUCACAUGUUAUAAAGACUAUCUAUUCCUCUAAUUGAUACUCUUUAUAAUAUGUGAAUAUUUUAUUUACCAUGUUGUAAAUAGUAGGGCAUAUUAAAAAAUUUUUGGAGGUUUUCUCUCAUGACGACUGGAAAAGUAAAAUGGUUCAAUUCAGAAAAAGGCUUUGGAUUUAUCGAAGUUGAAGGCGGAAACGACGUAUUCGUUCACUUCAGCGCGAUCACAGGCGAAGGGUACAAAACAUUAGAAGAAGGCCAAGAAGUUGAAUUCAACAUCGUUGAAGGCAACCGCGGACCUCAAGCUGAGAAUGUUGUAAAAUUAUAAUGAACGAAAAAGCCGCUCAGGUCUGAGCGGCUUUUUUU